GUAGGUUUAGGUUAAAUUUUUAAACUGUUAGUUUUCAAAACUAAAUAUUUUAUCCUGUU
rnacentral:tRNA from 1 species